GGAUCUCUUGGUUCUGGCAUCGAUGAAGAACGCAGCAAAAUGCGAUAAGUAAUGUGAAUUGCAGAAUUCAGUGAAUCAUCGAAUCUUUGAACGCACAUUGCGCCCGCCAGUAUUCUGGCGGGCAUGCCUGUUCGAGCGUCAUUUCAACCCUCAAGCACAGCUUGGUGUUGGGACUCGCGUUAAUUCGCGUUCCUCAAAUUGAUUGGCGGUCACGUCGAGCUUCCAUAGCGUAGUAGUAAAACCCUCGUUACUGGUAAUCGUCGCGGCCACGCCGUUAAACCCCAACUUCUGAAUGUUGACCUCGG
rnacentral:rRNA from 1 species